GACAGAGGUGCCGAGCGUUAGGCGGAAUCACUGGGCUUGAAGCGUGUGUAGGCGGGCGAUCAAGUACCUUGUGAAAUCCCACGGCUCAACCGUGGAACCGCUGGGUAUACUGGUUGUCUUGAGCCGGCUAGGGGCGAGCGGAACAGACGGUGGAGCGGUGAAAUGCGUAGAUAUCGUCUGGAACGCCGAAGGUGAAAACAGCUCGCUGGGGCCGCGCUGACGCUGAGACACGAAAGCCAGGGGAGCGAACGGG
rnacentral:rRNA from 1 species